CGGUCGUGCUUGCGCGCUGCCAGGGCCUCUAGGAGCCGGCCACCUGGCUUCAGAGCGCCGCGCCAGCCGUUGGUCCGCGACCGCCUUGGAGCAGGCGCCCGCGCCGGUGGCCCUCUACCACGACCGCCGAGCCUCCUCCCCUGGCAGCAGGUAGCCAGCCAAGACCGGGAGAGAAGCAGCAGCAGGGCCGCCAAUGCCCAGCUCCCUUGGCCGCCGAGCUUCUCCCUCUCAGCCAUGGUGUCUACCCCUGCUCCUCCAUCGACGAGCUGGUCGAAGCCAUGGCGGGUUCGACCUCCCUCUCCACCAGGGACGCACCCAGCAGCCGCUGCUCCCUCCGUCCCUAGCACGCGCCAGAUCCCGCCGUGGAUGAGCCCUGCUGCACUGCACGGCGGCCUCGUCACCUCCGAACGACGGGGCGCCGCGCGAAACAACCGGCCCAGCCGCGGAAGGAGGGGCAGAGGCGUCGUCCCUUCGUCGCCAGUCGACCUCGUGCACAGCAACAGUAAGCCCAGGGCUACGCAUCCGCUGCUCACUCCCACCCCGGCUUCCGCGCUGCGCCGCCAUCCCGCACCAGCCGGCCGCGCCAGACUGCGAUGGCCCCAGGGAUCCACGCGCUCCUCCUGGUCGCGCUCGCACCGCCUCGACUCUGCUACUGCUCCCCGCCGCCGGCCACAGACGCCCAGGACCAGCUCACCUUCCCCUCUCCCUGCUUUCUUCAACCUCCAGUCGACCUUCCCAUCCAUGGCCGUCGGCCUCCCUAGCCUGGUGGACGUGCCCAGCGCCUCCCCAGUCCACCAGCCCCGCCCCUACUUUCUUUUCUCCCCUGCACGAGCCUUUCUCGGUGCCCUCGCUCCCUCAAGCAGUAGGACGGAUGGAGCUCUCUGCCCCAUGGCCGUCGGCCUCCCUGGCCCAUAGCGCCCGUCUCCCAUGGCGCUCGGCGCGGCAGCGCCUCACCCUUCGACCUUCUCUCAUCGCCGGCGCCAUUCACACCCCUUGCGAGGUCCGACACAGGCCCCUUCCCGGCUGGACCCGCCCCGUCGCCCACCCCCUUCUUCACUUUCGCUGGAUCCGUCGCUGUCGCGGCCUUCCCGGUCGGAUCCACGUUGUUGCGACCUUUCCGGCUCGAUCCGCCGUCCCUUUGGCUGGAUCGCGUCUUCCCGGCAGGGAUCCGUCGUUGCCGUGGCCUUCCCGGCCGGAUCUGCCGUUUCCCCUUCUAUUCUGCCGCGGGCGCAGACACCAUGAUCGGCGCAGACGCGUGCGCUACUGUUGGCCUCCCUGGCGGGGCUCCUUGACGCCCGGACGAUCGAAGAAGAAGGAAGGUCGGCCUACCGGUGCCCUUUUGUUGUGUCGCCCUGCCGAUCGUUGACGCUCGAACGUCGACCCCUCCCGAAGAUCAGGCUUCUGCUGCGUGUCUCCCGACCGCGACCACCUCGACUUCGGCUACCUCGGCAUCUAGGGGCUAUCGUCUUCUUGGAGCACACACUGGUCUCUACUCUAGCCGCAACAUUCGCACCAUCACGACGCUGCGACUACGGGGGGAUUUCAACCCGUCGGCUCCUACCUUCGGCCUCUACUCCAGUCUCAUCGUGUAUGGUGCCCCCGUUGCGACUGCGGGGGGAUGUUAGACUGUGUGUGUGAGUUUGUGUGGGCCGGCACCACUGUUGGGCUGCCGGCCCAUUAGGAUUAGGGUUGAGUCUCUCUAUAUAUUGUAUCCCAUCUAUUAUCAAUACAACAGUUC
rnacentral:misc_RNA from 1 species